rnacentral:tRNA from 1 species
UAGGAAGUAGCUCAGUGAAAGAGCCAUUGAAAAUUUUCAAUAAGUCGCAGGUUCGAUUCCUGCCUUCCUAA